CUGAUUGCUCAGCAUUUUCUCUGCUAGCCUAGCUGACCUUCUUUGGUCCUCUUUCUCCUUUCACUGCUCCAAAAAGGGCCCUUCCAGACAACCUCAUAAUCCGGGAUGAAAAAGUGCAGCAAAAAAUAACUGUACCCAAAAACAAGUCCAAACACGGAAAUGUUGGUCUUGGCAAAUCGUCCCCUGGCAUCCUGAAAGCCUCCUGCUACCUUUAUGUUUGCCUUCUUGAACCCCGCUUCCCUUUGGGGUCACAUGCCUGCCAUGCUGGUGCCCACUGUGUAAAUUCAAGAUCUGUUUAAUUUCAUAAAUAUGAGAAUAAAGGAAUGGUUUCAGAG
rnacentral:lncRNA from 11 species